GACGAACGCUGGCGGCGUGCUUAACACAUGCAAGUCGAACGGAAAGGCCCUGCUUUUGUGGGGUGCUCGAGUGGCGAACGGGUGAGUAACACGUGAGUAACCUGCCCUUGACUUUGGGAUAACUUCAGGAAACUGGGGCUAAUACCGGAUAGGAGCUCCUGCUGCAUGGUGGGGGUUGGACAGUUUCGGCGGUUGGGGAUGGACUCGCGGCUUAUCAGCUUGUUGGUGGGGUAGUGGCUUAACAAGGCUUUGACGGGUAGCCGGCCUGAGAGGGUGACCGGCCACAUUGGGACUGAGAUACGGCCCAGACUCCUACGGGAGGCAGCAGUGGGGAAUAUUGCACAAUGGGCGGAAGCCUGAUGCAGCAACGCCGCGUGCGGGAUGACGGCCUUCGGGUUGUAAACCGCUUUCGCCUGUGACGAAGCGUGAGUGACGGUAAUGGGUAAAGAAGCACCGGCUAACUACGUG
rnacentral:rRNA from 1 species